CGUGCGCCGUCGCCGAAUCCCGCACGAGUCACAACUGCAGCAACGGCAACACCUAGGGAACCGGGGAACCACCACCUUGGGGUGAAUCGGGCCAACUUCCGCGAGGAAGCGGCCCGUAGGAGACCUUCCUGCUCCGAACCCGUCAGCUAACCCGGUAGGCGAGAAGGAAGGAAAGG
rnacentral:sRNA from 2 species